AAGUGUAAUCGUACGAGCACUAAUGCACCGGAUCCCAUCAGAAAUCCACAUAUAAGCUUUCUUGGGUGAGAGUAGUACUAGAAUGGGUGAUCUCCUAGGAAUUCCUCAUCUUGCACCUC
rnacentral:rRNA from 2 species